rnacentral:rRNA from 1 species
AACGUAGGAGGCGAGCGUUAUCCGGAUUUACUGGGUGUAAAGCGCAUGCAGGCGGUUCGCUAAGUUGGGUGUGAAAGCUCCUGGCUCAACUGGGAGAGGUCGCUCAAAACUGGCGGGCUAGAGUGUGGUAGGGGAAAGUGGAAUUCCGGGUGUAGUGGUGAAAUGCGUAGAUAUCCGGAGGAACACCAGUGGCGAAGGCGGCUUUCUGGACCACGACUGACGCUCAGAUGCGACAGCUAGGGGAGCAAACGGGAUUAGAAACCCCAGUAGUCC